UACGAAGGGGGCUAGCGUUGCUCGGAAUUACUGGGCGUAAAGGGCGCGUAGGCGGAUCAGCAAGUUGGGGGUGAAAGCCCGGGGCUCAACCUCGGAAUUGCCUUCAAAACUGCUGAUCUAGAGUACGGGAGAGGUGUGUGGAACUCCGAGUGUAGAGGUGAAAUUCGUAGAUAUUCGGAAGAACACCAGUGGCGAAGGCGACACACUGGCCCGUUACUGACGCUGAGGCGCGAAAGCGUGGGGAGCAAAC
rnacentral:rRNA from 1 species